rnacentral:rRNA from 1 species
UCCGUAGGCGGGCGACUAAGUCAGAGGUGAAAUCCCACAGCUUAACUGUGGAACUGCCUUUGAUACUGGUUGUCUUGAGUUAUAGUGAAGUAGAUAGAAUAUGUAGUGUAGCGGUGAAAUGCUUAGAUAUUACAUAGAAUUCCGAUUGCGAAGGCAGUCUACUAACUAUAUACUGACGCUAAUGGACGAAAGCGUGGGGAGCGAACAGGAUUAGAUACCCUGGUAGUCC